GUUUAAAUGGCUUAUAUUUAGAGCGUAAUACUGAAGAUAUUGAGGAAAUUGACUUAUUUUUAAAUA
rnacentral:tRNA from 1 species